AACUGAACCAUGUAGGCACCCAUUCUUGUACAGUCUUAACUUGUGGAAUCUGCAGUAACUCUGGGUGGUUAGAGUCAGAACUCAGUUGAAUUCUGGAACACUUGGAAAAGUGGCUUUGGAAAAGAUACUGUAUUUGGUGUCAGGAGGCAAAAAACCUUUCAUCUGAUGUCAAAAGUGUUGUGAAUAAAAAUAACUCACAGGAAACAACUAGCUACCAUACUGUGAUGAAAUGCAAACUCGUUUUCACAGAGAGAUCACCUGGAAGGGUUCCUGUGGACAGCUGGGGAUCUUUGAUUGCAAGCUAUAGAAACUAACAGGAGUGCUCCCUACCAUGUCCUGCCCUCAAUACGGGAAGAAUAUUGGCUGAUUCGCAGAAUCAAAGGAAAACAGAACCACCUUAACCUUGGGAGAAAGAAAAACCAGAACUCUGGGGAUUUUUAGAAAUGUUUAUAUAUGGCCUCUUUGAUAUGACAAUUGGAACAUUUAACUCCAAGGGCCUUCCUUCUACCCAGGUGUCAUUCUCAAGAUUCAGAUUCCUGGCAGAGACAGAAUCUGGUUGAACCAAGUACAGUCAUCUGCGUAAUCCUUCUAGAGCACAGCGACUGUGAUGGAUAGUGACCAAGAUCCAGAUGAUUCUACCGUAAUAUGGAAUGAGCAAUAGUUGAAUUUGUUUCUAAAGUAUCUUGUUAAAUUGUUUACCCCCUGAUGAAGAGUAAUAGGAUUUUUCAAGCAGAGGGAUCUGGAGAAGAAGCAGAGAAAUGACCAUUCUUAUUAGGAUGGAGAGGCACAUCAUUUCAGUCUUCAUUAGUAACUGAGUAUUGAUUAUACUCUCAUUAACUGUCCCCCCCCUUCUAUUUACAGACCUGUUCACUGUGAUGAAUUUUAUGGUUUGGUCAAUCUUACAUCAGACUAUACCUACCUCCUGAAUAAACAAAUAUGGAAAUGAAUUAUUAUGAACACAAGUUGGAAGUAGUACAUUCAUAGCUAUAGUUAAUUCAAAGUAAAUUUGGUUUAUAAAAUUCCAAGUUAUAAUAAGUAAAUUUUAAUACAUACCACUUAAAGAUUUUUUCAAAUUAAAUUUCAUGACCUACAAACUUUCUUAUGAAAUCACAUAAUGUUUUGGAUUAAAUGUUGUAUUAUUCCACUUAGAAAUCCUUUUAGAAAGUUCUCUUUCUCUAAGUGCUAUAAUAUCGACUGGUCAGUGUUGAGCUCAAAGUAGUUGCAGAGAAUCAAUAUUGGCUUAGUUACAACUUGGCAAAGCCUGGGAGGUAACCGAAUUAGAGCUAUUGGACUAGAAAAACCAUUCAAAGAUAAAAGCCUUUAAAAAAAUUAUGGCAAAUGCAAGACAUGUUAAAUUCUAACAAAAUAAUGUAAAAUUUCUUCCACAAGAACUCUCAAGCCUUUUUGCACAUAUUGUUAUUAAAAAUCAUCUGCAAAAGACAAAAGGAUCAUGAUUGUGCUCAAGACCCCCAAAUGUUAAAUCACUUGCCUAGAGUCACACAGUAAUUAGUGUGAAAGUUUGGGCAAGAAUUUUUUCAUCCUAUGUUUGAGCUCUUAUGCAAUGAAUGUUGAAUAGAAAACUCUAAUGAUUAAUAGUAACAUACAGAUGACCAUUAAAGAAAUUAAACCCAAUCCCCCCAAAUUGCAGAUAAUUGCACCUAUACUUUCUACUCUUCUCUAUAUGUUAUUUUUACAUUUUUGCUAUUCAUGCACACAUAUCAUUCUGUGAUCUACAUUUUUCUUUGAUUCCUCAGUAUAAUCUUCCUAUCUUUCUCCUCAUUUUGGACACAAGAAACCAACCUAAUACCUCUCACUUCAGAAUGCUCAUGUGGACAUUUGCAUAUUAAUCCAGUAAGACUUAGUUCAUCCUCCCUUCCCAGACAAAGGCACAUCUUCUGUUCUCUACUUAGCCCUAAAGUACUAAGUGGGCACAUGACUUGAAAAUUAAUGUGCCAGUUCAUCUAGUGCAAAAAGAAUAACUUAAUACUCCUCUUGGUUAGUAAAAUCAAGGUUACAGAAACAUUCAUGAAAUGAAAUACUGGUCUUCUAAUUGGCAAUAGAAUGUCUGCUACCACAUUUCAUCUUCUCAUUUUAAUUGCAAAUGAAUAGAGCCAGACUACUGAUGUUUGAAUAUGUUUUUCUUUGCAUAUAGUGCUUCCAGAAAACAAACAAAUCACUAUUCUGUUAUAAAUCGCAUACUCAGAGAGGUAUGUGAAAAUUCUAAAGUAUAAAUUGUGAAUAGCAGGAUGUUGAAUUAGGAUUACUGUACCUGGGAAAGUUCUGAGGUAGUAUUUAAUGAUCAAAUGCAUUACUGAAUAUCAUUUGGAAUGGGUAUGCUUUUCUUUUUUUAACUUAAUGAAAAAGAGGAAACUUCUGGUACAGAGCAUGCAUGUAACAGCAAUGGCUAUCAUUGAUUGAGUGUAGUGCCAGGCACUGCGCUAAGUGCUUUCCGCAUAUUAUUUUAUUUAAUUCUCAUGAAGAAAUGAUAGAGUAGGCACCAUUAUUUUUAUAGAAGAGGGAACAAACCUUAGAGAGAUAUGAAACUAGUAACAGGUAAAUAGGGCUGGGACUUAAACUUUAUGGGGCUGUCUGAUUGCAAAGCUCAUGCCCUUAACUGUUAUGCAUCUUAUUUUGACAAAUGAAUGCAUUUUAUGAAUGAAAGAAUGAAUAACGGUUAUAUUAUAAGUAGGAAUAGAAAGGUAAUUAAAUGCAAGUCACAGAAUAACUGUGGCGUAACCAAGGAAGACAUUGAAUCAUUUCACGUAACAAGAAAGUUGGGGAGAUUUGGAGUUAAGCAGACUCUUGCUUUUUUUUUUCUUAGGAUUUUAUUUUAUUUUUUAAAAAAGAUUUUAUUUAUUUAUUCAUG